AUGAACGCUAGCUACAGGCUUAACACAUGCAAGUCGAGGGGCAGCAUGGUCUUAGCUUGCUAAGGCCGAUGGCGACCGGCGCACGGGUGAGUAACACGUAUCCAACCUGCCGUCUACUCUUGGACAGCCUUCUGAAAGGAAGAUUAAUACAAGAUGGCAUCAUGAGUCCGCAUGUUCACAUGAUUAAAGGUAUUCCGGUAGACGAUGGGGAUGCGUUCCAUUAGAUAGUAGGCGGGGUAACGGCCCACCUAGUCUUCGAUGGAUAGGGGUUCUGAGAGGAAGGUCCCCCACAUUGGAACUGAGACACGGUCCAAACUCCUACGGGAGGCAGCAGUGAGGAAUAUUGGUCAAUGGGCGAGAGCCUGAACCAGCCAAGUAGCGUGAAGGAUGACUGCCCUAUGGGUUGUAAACUUCUUUUAUAAAGGAAUAAAGUCGGGUAUGCAUACCCGUUUGCAUGUACUUUAUGAAUAAGGAUCGGCUAACUCCGUGCCAGCAGCCGCGGUAAUACGGAGGAUCCGAGCGUUAUCCGGAUUUAUUGGGUUUAAAGGGAGCGUAGAUGGAUGUUUAAGUCAGUUGUGAAAGUUUGCGGCUCAACCGUAAAAUUGCAGUUGAUACUGGAUAUCUUGAGUGCAGUUGAGGCAGGCGGAAUUCGUGGUGUAGCGGUGAAAUGCUUAGAUAUCACGAAGAACUCCGAUUGCGAAGGCAGCCUGCUAAGCUGCAACUGACAUUGAGGCUCGAAAGUGUGGGUAUCAAACAGGAUUAGAUACCCUGGUAGUCCACACGGUAAACGAUGAAUACUCGCUGUUUGCGAUAUACAGCAAGCGGCCAAGCGAAAGCGUUAAGUAUUCCACCUGGGGAGUACGCCGGCAACGGUGAAACUCAAAGGAAUUGACGGGGGCCCGCACAAGCGGAGGAACAUGUGGUUUAAUUCGAUGAUACGCGAGGAACCUUACCCGGGCUUAAAUUGCAGAUGAAUUACGGUGAAAGCCGUAAGCCGCAAGGCAUCUGUGAAGGUGCUGCAUGGUGGUCGUCAGCUCGUGCCGUGAGGUGUCGGCUUAAGUGCCAUAACGAGCGCAACCCUUGUUGUCAGUUACUAACAGGUUCCGCUGAGGACUCUGACAAGACUGCCAUCGUAAGAUGUGAGGAAGGUGGGGAUGACGUCAAAUCAGCACGGCCCUUACGUCCGGGGCUACACACGUGUUACAAUGGGGGGUACAGAGGGCCGCUACCACGCGAGUGGAUGCCAAUCCCAAAAACCUCUCUCAGUUCGGACUGGAGUCUGCAACCCGACUCCACGAAGCUGGAUUCGCUAGUAAUCGCGCAUCAGCCACGGCGCGGUGAAUACGUUCCCGGGCCUUGUACACACCGCCCGUCAAGCCAUGGGAGCCGGGGGUACCUGAAGUGCGUAACCGCGAGGAGCGCCCUAGGGUAAAACUGGUGACUGGGGCU
rnacentral:rRNA from 1 species